AUGCUAAAAGCUUCCUGCACUUUGUUUAUGAAUUUGGGAGAAAUUAUGAAGCAGAAGUAUGUUACACAUUUUCUCACAGGCAUGUUGACUUCUACCUUUCCUGUGAAGAUAAACUGCACAUUUCAGUUUUCUGCAUUUCAAGAUUUUAUCAUCUUUUGGAGCAGCAAGAAAGGAGAUGUUGCUGAAAACACCUCAUAUUAUCGAAGAUUAACCUUGUGCUCACUGCUUCCCCACACAAAUAAAUGCCAAAAUAUCAAACCAAAUCUUUCUUCUCUGACCUCCAAGUUUCUGCCAUUGCUGUCACUAUGGAAACAAUCGGAACAUCAGAUACGUCAGUAAGCAUGAUUUAUAAAAUACAAAAGCACCAAAAGUAGAUAUUCUACAUAAAACCCAAUCAAGACAAAAUUCACAUGUUAGCAAGGAAAUAUUGACUUUAAAGGACUUUCAAUUUCAUAUGAAUUCCUAGGGCAAUGCUGCAGUGAGCUAUGGCCAAGGAGAGAGCUGCCAGUGCAGCAUCAUGCAUGAAGUCACACAGCCAAAGGCUGCAACAAACCACUAGGACGAAGGGUUGUAAUCAACCCUUUUCCAUCCAUUUAAAACACAAAAAUCCAACAGUAAAGAAAAGUCAGUAUAUCCCCAAAACAUUACACCAACAUAAGAAAUAUGGCAAGAUGUACAGGUACUUGUUUCUCUGAGACUCAGAAAUAAAUUAAGGAAGACCCCUUCAGUUUGUUUUGCCUGUAUCUCAAUAGUGCAUUCAAUCAUCUUCCCCUCUGUUCAAUUAUCUUUGUUCACAGCCACAUCAGAAACAAAGGCAAAGCCAAUUACUCAUAGCUUCCCAACCAAAGAUUUAAAGCAAUUCUUAGAGAGACAUCAGUUAUACAACUUGGUUGGACAGCUAUUCUGUUGAGUUGUAGCCUCAGCAGUGCAAAAGCAGAGUGCUUAUUAUCGCUGUAAGAUAGGGUUCAUCCAAACCCCGUAUGUGCAGAAGAUGCAGUUUUCCCUGCUCCCAAAGCUCAGCACAUAACUUCACUUUGACAUGUUGACUCAAUUAUAGCACUCGGGAGCCUCAAGAGAACAAACACAGGUUUUUGAGACACCUCCCUCUCUAACACACACACAUUCUCCCUGUGCUUAUUUAGAAGCUCAUUGCCUUUUAUCAUCACACUAUUCUCUCAUAUGUUACACUGAUGCACCUACCCACUUCAUGCUGCUGCUUUUCCUCACCUCUACUGUCUUGGAAAGUAAGCAACUACUGUACGUCAAAUUCAGCUACUAAGGUUACAAUACAGACAACAAAAGCAAGAGGGACCUCUUCUUAUAACAAGAUAAAACAUUUCAGCUCAAGAAAAAAGAGCAAGAAAACAACUCAAACACAAGUUAGAGUCAUAGAGAACUAGGAGAAGAGAGGAACAGACAUGCAGCUGUAAACCACUUUUAAAACAUUAUGGAUCCGAAAGAAUAAAUGCAUACUUUUCUUAAAAACUACAUGGCAAACAGUAAGCCCCAGGUGCCAUUCCAGGUUGGGAAGACAAUUUGCCAACUAGUCAGUGCUGCACAGCUGACCCUGAGACUGCUUACUGCCUUUGAUGCUACAUGCACAUAGAGCAAAUUCCCUUACAUUCAGAGUCCCUUAAGUGGCUCAGUAAAAGAAAUAGUCUAGAGUAUUCUUGUCUUAAAAGCUCUGGUUUUGACUGGCUAUCUUGAGGACAGUUGGAAAUUUAUCAGAUUUUUCACUUUUUGACACAGGACCAGCCACCUAGGGCAGCAGUUCAGGUACUCCGAGAUGGAGAUAGUCCCUUCCUCACUUGAAACACAUGUUUUUGAUUUCUAACUUCCAAGACAUGAGAUUACAUGCUUUGUCUGAGCUUUCCUGUAUUAGACUGAAGAAGUCAGAUCGAAUGAAUUCAGACAGCAACUGCAAGGAGAGAAUGAUUUGGAAUUCUGAACUAUCAAGAGGGCAAGGAAGAACAAAAGUUACAAAUUAUAGAACUGAGUGAAAAGGUAGAGCAGAGGACAAAGUAAGUCUUUUGUGGGAGCCCCCCUUCUACAAAAAACUUCUUCUAGAAACAGUGAAUUUUGAUGCGCUAUUUCCCUGUAGUUAAUGAUAUUAGUUCACAAAAUCAGGAAACUGUAUGAUAGUAAAGAGGACAAUUCAGAGCUGGAGUUUAUGUUGGCCAAAUAUUGGACAAUUUGAAAUAAGCCAUUCCACCUUUUUGAAACGUUUCAAUAAAAGCUAAAUUCAAAUAUUCAUAGAAACAAACAGUUUUUAGAAAUCGACUCUCACAUUGUAGUGUGUGAGUUUAUAUCUGUUUUCUAUCUGGCUCUUUUUAUUCCUCUUUUCCAUCAGUCAUGCAUGCCUGAUAGGCUUUAAAUUACCUGAAGUAUUCAAUAUUUUUUUAAAAUUAGAAUCAUACUUAUCUGGUACUGUGGUACUUCUCAUUUGUGUAUGUAGCUCUCUGCCCUUUCUUCUCCUGUAUCCUUUCCUGGCCUUUAAAGUGACCACAAAACACUGCACAUUGAAGUCCAGGUAAUGAACAGUAUCUACACAAUAUUUUCAGUAUUAUCACCUACUGUACAUUUCUAAGCACAAUUUCUAGUACAUUUCUAAGACCAUAAAUAGGUUACUCCAAUCAGCCUGAUACUAAUUACAAUGUGUCCUCUAGCGAAGACUGCUC
rnacentral:lncRNA from 1 species